CCCCACAUCCUUUACUGUGAGAAUAUGUUGCUAUGUGUUGUCUCAGUUAUAACAAUGCAAUAGCAGUAUGCUGGUCACUUACAUAAGAAAUAGCACUUCCUAACAGGAGCUAGCAAGCAGGCUAUCAAAGGAAUAUUAGCGAGCUGAUGAGAUCAAAUGGCUGACAAACGUGGUUUGGAGAAACGGGACUUUUGUGCAUUAAGCAUCGAGCAACAGCAGCAACUCCGACAAUUUAAGAGAUGCAUUUCUCAAAAGACCCACAGACAUUCGAGAGUAUGCAGCAGAUUACUUCACCGACCCAAACCUUGGUUUGAUCAUUGGCUCCAAACUGCAGGGUGAUCCUGCCGACACAGGCAUAGACUGAAUCCUUACCGGAUUGUUUGGCAGUUCAACUGUUAUUGAAGUGUAAAGCUGUAACAGGCCUCUUUCUCUGUGUUCUGUACGUCCUCUGUAUUGACUAGUUAUGUGUCAAAGUAACGUGAUACAAAUGAUAAAACAUGAUAUAAAGUGUGAA